UUCUAGAAUUCCAUGAUUCAUCAACCACCACUUGACAACCAAGAAUAUCUGUCAUGAUGCAUGGAAUUUAAGAUAAUAAAAGAGUUGAGCAAUCAUCAUGACAAAAUUAGCUUCAGUUUUGGAUUAUUUUUGUAAAUAAUUCUCAGACUCUCUGGAAAUCCCAGAGUACCCUAGGUAAGACUAGAAGAUAAUAGGUCUUGAAGAUAAUAGAGAUAAAAUCAAAUUGUACUAUGAUAAUAUCUGGAAUGCCUUUGAAGACCUUCAGUACAAAGACCUUCAGUGCCCCUGGAUAUGUAUUUGGCUUCUACAAAAAUGUACUGAGAAAAUAGAUACCCCUGUUACUUCUUCUGACAAUGUUUUCUGUUUUGCACAGAGAAUUCAGAUUUUUAGGUCAUCAGAGAGUCCAUUCACGAUGAAUCACUCUAAUAACAUAUGAAGUCAUAAAUAACGUAAGUAAUGAU
rnacentral:lncRNA from 1 species